UACGUAGGGUGCAAGCGUUGUCCGGGAUUAUUGGGCGUAAAGAGCUCGUAGGCGGUCUGUCGCGUCGGAUGUGAAAACCCAGGGCUCAACCCUGGGCCUGCAUUCGAUACGGGCAGACUAGAGUUCGGUAGGGGAGACUGGAAUUCCUGGUGUAGCGGUGAAAUGCGCAGAUAUCAGGAGGAACACCGGUGGCGAAGGCGGGUCUCUGGGCCGAAACUGACGCUGAGGAGCGAAAGCGUGGGGAGCAAACAGG
rnacentral:rRNA from 1 species